UACGUAGGUGGCAAGCGUUGUCCGGAUUUACUGGGCGUAAAGAGCGCGCAGGCGGUCGGAUCAGUCGAAUGUGAAAGCCCCCGGCUCAACUGGGGAGGGUCAUUCGAUACUGUCCGACUCGAAGGCAGGAGAGGGAAGCGGAAUUCCCGGUGUAGUGGUGAAAUGCGUAGAUAUCUGGAGGAACACCGGUGGCGAAGGCGGCGUUCUGGACUGUUACUGACACUGAGGAACGAAAGCCAGGGGAGCAAACGGG
rnacentral:rRNA from 1 species